rnacentral:rRNA from 1 species
ACGAACGCUGGCGGCGUGCUUAACACAUGCAAGUCGAACGAUGAAGAAAAGAAUCGAAGCUUCGGCAGAAAUUCAUUUCGGAUUAGUGGCAGACGGGUGAGUAACGCGUGAGCAACCUACCUCUUACAAAGGGAUAGCCUCGGGAAACCGGGAUUAAUACCAUAUAACAUUGUGACGAAGCAUUCCGAUGCAAUCAAAGCUACGGCGGUAAGAGAUGGGCUCGCGUCCCAUUAACCGGAUGGUGAGGUAACGGCUCACCAUAGUGACGAUGGGUAACCGGCCUGAGAGGGUGAACGGUCACACUGGAACUGAGACACGGUCCAGACUCCUACGGGAGGCAGCAGUGGGGAAUAUUGCACAAUGGAGAGAACUCUGAUGCAGCGACGCCGCGUGAGUGAUGAAGGAAUUCGUUUCGUAAAACUCUGUUCUAUGGGAAGAAAAGGACUGUACCAUAGGAGAAAGCUCCGGCUAAAUACGUG